ACAACAACAACAACAACAAUAACAACAACAAUAACAACAAGAUCACAGUUGAAAUUUUUCAAUUAUCGUCGCAGUUUGAAGAUUUUUGAUGAUUUGUGCGGAAAGAUUGAUAAUAUAAGGUACACAUAAGUACAAUUGUCAUAUAUAGCUAUCAGCAAAGAGGCUGGGCCAGGAGCUAGGACUUGACCCUUGCAACCACAAAAAGUGAAGUUCAUCGAGUGUGACGUCUCGCGGCGGAGCUGCUGUCGAACUGUGUUUUUGAAGCAGGUGGCAGAUUGUUUUUUUUUUUUUUUUUGCAUCAUCAGGAAGUGAGUUUAAAGUUUUAGGGCCCUUUAUAUGCAUGAGGUUCCCUGUAAGUUAAAAAUCCCUGUUAGGAUUUUUAACCUGGGGUAGGGAGGGUAAGCCACCCAGGAUAACCCAAGACAGUUGGUGAAUCACCGAGGGAUUGUCUGUCUUAUUUUCAUUGUGGUCCUUCAAUCUUGUCCCCCAGGAUGCAACCCACACCAGUUGACUAACACCCAGGUACCUACUUACUGCUAGGGGGAAAAGGACAGCAGAUGUAAGGGAACGUGCCCAACGUUUCUGCCCGUGUUUGGGAUUGAUCCACAGACAGUGUGUGAAGUGAGUGUUGCCAACCAAGCCACAGGCCACCCUGAUGUGUCUCUUAAUUAAGCAGUAAGUAGGUACACUUGUGUUAGCAGACUGUUUUUGGUGAUAUCCUGGGGAAAAACCUCAUAUAAUCCUAGCAGAA